CCAAUAGCGUAUAUUAAAGUUGUUGCAGUUAAAAAGCUCGUAGUUGAAUUUCGGGGUCAGUAGGUUGGUCGUGCCACUGGUAUGUACUGGUCUCACUGAUUCCUCCUUCCUGAUGAGCCGUAAUGCCAUUAAUUUGGUGUUGCAGGGAAUCUGGACUGUUACUUUGAAAAAAUUAGAGUGUUUAAAGCAGGCUAACGCUUGAAUACAUUAGCAUGGAAUAAUGAAAUAGGACGUUCGAUCCUAUUUUGUUGGUUUCUAGGAUUGACGUAAUGAUUAAUAGGGAUAGUUGGGGGCAUUAGUAUUCAAUUGUCAGAGGUGAAAUUCUUGGAUUUAUUGAAGACUAACUACUGCGAAAGCAUUUGCCAAGGAUGUUUUCAUUAAUCAAGAACGAAAGUUAGGGGAUCGAAGACGAUCAGAUACCGUCGUAGUCUUAACCAUAAACUAUGCCGACUAGGGAUCGGAUGAUGUUAAUUUUUUAAUGACUCAUUCGGCGCCUUACG
rnacentral:rRNA from 1 species